rnacentral:rRNA from 1 species
GACGAACCGUGCGAACGUUAUUCGGAAUCACUGGGCUUAAAGCGCGUGUAGGCGGGCCGCCACGUCGGCUGCUGAAAUCCCCCGGCUCAACCGGGGAACGGGCACCGAUACGAGCGGCCUUGAGGGGGGUAGGGGGAUCUGGAACUUCCGGUGGAGCGGUGAAAUGCGUUGAGAUCGGAAGGAACGCCCGUGGCGAAAGCGAGGUCCUGGACCCUUUCUGACGCUGAGACGCGAAAGCGUGGGGAGCGAACAGG